UUCCAGAGUUUGAUCUGGCUCAGGACGAACGCUGGCGGCGUGCUUAACACAUGCAAGUCGAACGAUGAAGCCCAGCUUGCUGGGUGGAUUAGUGGCGAACGGGUGAGUAACACGUGGGUGAUCUGCCCUGCACUUCGGGAUAAGCCUGGGAAACUGGGUCUAAUACCGGAUACGACCAAAGGCUGCAUGGUUUUUGGUGGAAAGGUUUACCGGUGCAGGAUGAGCCCGCGGCCUAUCAGCUUGUUGGUGGGGUAAUGGCCUACCAAGGCGACGACGGGUAGCCGGCCUGAGAGGGCGACCGGCCACACUGGGACUGAGACACGGCCCAGACUCCUACGGGAGGCAGCAGUGGGGAAUAUUGCACAAUGGGCGAAAGCCUGAUGCAGCGACGCCGCGUGAGGGAUGACGGCCUUCGGGUUGUAAACCUCUUUCAGCAGGGACGAAGCGCAAGUGACGGUACCUGCAGAAGAAGCACCGGCCAACUACGUGCCAGCAGCCGCGGUAAUACGUAGGGUGCGAGCGUUGUCCGGAAUUACUGGGCGUAAAGAGCUCGUAGGCGGUUUGUCGCGUCGUCUGUGAAAACCCGCAGCUCAACUGCGGGCUUGCAGGCGAUACGGGCAGACUUGAGUACUGCAGGGGAGACUGGAAUUCCUGGUGUAGCGGUGAAAUGCGCAGAUAUCAGGAGGAACACCGGUGGCGAAGGCGGGUCUCUGGGCAGUAACUGACGCUGAGGAGCGAAAGCGUGGGUAGCGAACAGGAUUAGAUACCCUGGUAGUCCACGCCGUAAACGGUGGGCGCUAGGUGUGGGUUUCCUUCCACGGGAUCCGUGCCGUAGCUAAAACGCCA
rnacentral:rRNA from 1 species